UGGUGGCGGACGGGUGAGUAACGCGUAAAGAACUUGCCUUGCAGUCUGGGACAACGUCUGGAAACGGACGCUAAUACCGGAUAUUAUGAUUGAAUCGCAUGAUUUGAUUAUGAAAGCUAUAUGCGCUGCGAGAGAGCUUUGCGUCCCAUUAGUUAGUUGGUGAGGUAACGGCUCACCAAGACGAUGAUGGGUAGCCGGCCUGAGAGGGUGAACGGCCACAAGGGGACUGAGACACGGCCCUU
rnacentral:rRNA from 1 species